CCCUUAGAUGUCCUGGGCUGCACGCGCGCUACACUGAUGUGUCCAGUAAGCACCUAACCUCUUCCGAAAGGAACGGGUAACCUUUGCAAAGCACAUCGUGAUGGGGAUAGAUUAUUGCAAUUAUUAGUCUUGAACGAGGAAUUCCUAGUAAGCACAAGUCAUCAGCUUGUGUUGAUUACGUCCCUGCCCUUUGUACACACCGCCCGUCGCUCCUACCGAUUGAAUGUUCCGGUGAGCUCUUCGGACUGCGCGGUCUGCAGUUUCUGCGUUCCGUGCGGAAAGUUGCGCAAACCUUACCACUUAGAGGAAGGAGAAGUCGUAACA
rnacentral:rRNA from 1 species